rnacentral:lncRNA from 1 species
AUGUUAAAAAUUAUUAUCCCAACUAUUAUACUACUUCCAAUAACAUCUUGCUCUAAGAACUCUAUAAUCUGAAUUAAUACAGCCUCCCACAGUUGACUCAUCAGUCUCAUCAGCCUGCUAUUCUUCAACCAAUUUAAUGGUGAUUCAUCCAACUUCUUAUUAACUUUCUUUCCUGAUCCACUGUCAUCACCCCUUCUAAUUCUGGUUACUGAAUUCUAAUACUGGUUACUGCCCCUUAUAAUUUUAGCAAGCCAAUAUCAUCUAUCCAAAGAAUCACUCCUGCAAAAAAAGCUUUAUAUCUUAAUGUUAGUUUCUUUACAGAUAUCUUUAAUUAUAACAUUCACAGCCACAGAACUAAUCACAUCUUAUAUUCUCUUUGAAGCCACGCUAGUCCCCACCCUAAUUAUUAUUACUCGUUGAGGUAAUCAAACAGAACGCCUUAACGCAGACUUAUACUUCUUAUUUUAUACACUGGUAGGAUCCUUACCUUUGCUCGUAGCACUUAUCUAUAUUCAAAAUGCAUUCAGCUUACUAAACAUAUUAGUAACAACAUAUACUUCCCAAGAAUUGGCAACCUCCUGAUCCAGCAACCUUCUAUGACUAGCAUACAUCAUGGCAUUUUUGGUAAAAAUGCCUCUCUCUGGACUCCACCUGUGACUCCCUGAAGCCCACGUAGAAGCCCCCAUUGCCGGCUCAAUAGUACUUGCAGCAGUACUCCUAAAAUAAGGCGGCUACGGAAUGAUAUGGCUCACUCUAAUCUUUAAUCCCAUGACAGAAUACAUAGCCUACUCUUUCCUCAUACUAUCCCUAUGGGGAAUAAUCAUGACAGGCUCCAUUUGUCUACGCCAAACCGAUCUAAAGUCACUCAUUGCUUACUCCUCCAUAAGCCACAUGGCACUCGUUAUGGUAGCUAUUCUCAUUCAGGCAGCCUGAAGUUUUAUAGGCACAACGGCCUAUAUAAAAUGCUAGAUGUUGAGAAGUACACAAUUUUCAUGUAAGAGGGGACUAGAAAGAACAUAUUCU